rnacentral:rRNA from 1 species
GACGAACGCUGGCGGCGUGCUUAACACAUGCAAGUCGAACGGAAAGGCCCUGCUUUUGUGGGGUGCUCGAGUGGCGAACGGGUGAGUAACACGUGAGUAACCUGCCCUUGACUUUGGGAUAACUUCAGGAAACUGGGGCUAAUACCGGAUAGGAGCUCCUGCUGCAUGGUGGGGGUUGGAAAGUUUCGGCGGUUGGGGAUGGACUCGCGGCUUAUCAGCUUGUUGGUGGGGUAGUGGCUUACCAAGGCUUUGACGGGUAGCCGGCCUGAGAGGGUGACCGGCCACAUUGGGACUGAGAUACGGACCAGAAUCCUACGGGCGGCAGUAGUGGGGAAUAUUGCACAAUGGGCGGAAGCCUGAUGCAGCAACGCCGCGUGCGGGAUGACGGCCUUCGGGUUGUAAACCGCUUUCGCAUGUGACGAAGCGUGAGUGACGGUAAUGGGUAAAGAAGCACCGGCUAACUACGUG